UACGUAGGUGGUUUGCCAAGUCCGAUGUGAAAUCUCCUGGCUUAACUGGGAGGGUGCGUUAGAUACUGGCAGGCUUGAGUGUGGGAGAGGAGAGCGGAAUUCCUGGUGUAGCGGUGAAAUGCGUAGAUAUCAGGAGGAACGCCUGUGGUGUAGACGGCUCUCUGGACCAUUACUGACACUGAGGUACGAAAGCGUGGGUAGCAAACAGGAUUAGAUACCCUGGUAGUCCACGCCCUAAACGAUGCAUACUUGGUGUGGGCAGUUCAGUCUGUCCGUGCCGGAGCUAACGCGUUAAGUAUGCCGCCUGGGGAGUACGGUCGCAAGGCUGAA
rnacentral:rRNA from 1 species